rnacentral:rRNA from 1 species
CAGGGGGGGCAAGCGUUGUUCGGAAUUACUGGGCGUAAAGGGUUCGUAGGUGGCCAACUAAGUCAGACGUGAAAUCCCUCAGCUUAACUGGGGAACUGCGUCUGAUACUGGAUGGCUUGAGUGUAGGAGAGGAAUGCGGAAUUCCAGGUGUAGCGGUGAAAUGCGUAGAUAUCUGGAGGAACACCGGUGGCGAAGGCGGCAUUCUGGACUACAACUGACACUGAGGAACGAAAGCCAGGGGAGCAAACGGGAUUAGAUACCCCGGUAGUCCUGGCCCUAAACGAUGAAUGCUUGGUGUAACGGGUAUCGAUCCCUGUUGUGCCGAAGCUAACGCAUUAAGCAUUCCGCCUGGGGAGUACGGUCGCAAGGCUG